GGGGAUAUAGCUCAGCAGCAUAGUGUCUGCCUGACAAACACAAGGCCCUGAGUCUGAUUCCCAGUACCUCCC
rnacentral:tRNA from 1 species